AAUGCAUGAGGUUUGGACGCGUCCUCGCGCUCCUACUGUUUGCUCGCGCGCGCGUGCGUGGAAGAGCGAUUUCAAAUACAAAGAAGUAACGGCUCCAUUCCUCAAAGAGAGUAAGAAACAACCGCUGCGCAAGCAGUUAAUGAAGAAAUGUGGCUCUGUAGUGGACACCUGUGAGGCAGUGGACAGACAGCUGCUGAAGUCUGAUGCUGGCUGAAAAUAAACAGACCUCUCUGGACGUACCCCAUCUUUUGCAGAGAAAUUAUACCAUUGCCCUUCCUGUUACAUGAUGAUCCUGCUGUCCUGGACUGUAUAUGAUGAGCCUACACAGAAUCUCAGAACAGCUGUGGUAAUAACAGGAAUCCCAUUAGAUGAGAGCGGCACUGCAGACUUUCCUGAUGGUGAGAAGCUUCUUGCUGAUGAACCUGCCGACAUGAGUUCACCUUACUAUGAGUAACUGUGUUCUGUUCAACAUUAUACAGAAAAGCAAUUAAAAGUUCACUAAAGCGCACUAUUUUUCUGGUGUAUCUGUUGGUCAUUCAAGAGGAGAUCAUGGACAAUUUUGACAAGACUGAUGAUGUGUUUCAGCUGUGUUUGUAUCGUAAAUCCUCACAAUGUUUGUAUAUUUUGAUUUUUUUUUUAAUUAUGUGCAUUUAUAACACUAUACUUUGUAUUAUAUCACAUUCAUAUCAAAUUACAGAAAAAAAUAUUUAAUGCUAAUGCAAGGGUGUUUCUAAUGCAGAGUCUUUGAGAGGAAUGCUAAAUUUGACAUUGUUCUCUUGUCUGAUUGCUGUUAUCAGUCGCUGUCAGAUUUUUUCCUUUGAUUGAAAGUUGUGAAAAUGCUAUUGUAGAGUUUUUCAUUUUGCUAUUUGAGUAAAUGAGAAUGCAAAAAUAUAUUUGUGAUACUCUCCCAUUCACUGCUCUCGAAGUUAACCCAACUAUAACAACUUACACUGCUGAGAAACUGGUUUAUUAAGCUAAAUACAUCUAUCUUGAGGCUUAUCAAUUUCUUGAAAUGUCCUGUCUGAAUUCUCCCAAUCAGUCACCACUGUUUAGAACAGGAAAGAAUAUGUUACUUUUAAUUGCAUUGUGUCUAAAAUUUAAAUCAUUGUUUUAGGUACCUAAAAUGUUUUUUUAAAGUUCUAAGAUUAUUGAGUCACAUUUAUUUGUUUCUAAUUUUACCAAGGUGUAAAUGCUUUUUUUGUUGUUGUUGUUUAUAGCAGUAUUAACACUGAUGUUGCCAUGAAUGGGAUUGUGAUGUGCAGUAUUGUGAUUAUGGAUAUUGUUGUUGUUUAUCAAUAAACUGUUUUAUACGCAUUUGUUUUAUUUUUAAUCAUUAAAAAGGUCAAUAGCAGGACAAAUAAACCGGGGGGGAGGGCAUUAAAGAACUGAAAUUAGGGAAAUGGUGCCUUGAAGCACCCCAGGUGGUUCCUGGCCAUCAUAAUAAAAGGGUUCCUCCAGGAACCAUUGAAAGUUCCUCAGAGAACCACCCCCAUUUAGAGCGGUGCCUAGAGGCUCUUCAGACGGUUCCGCCGGUGUGGCGAAGUGAAGAACCCCAAAAGGUGCCUCCAGGAACCUUUAGUUU